AGUGAACGCUGGCGGUAGGCCUAACACAUGCAAGUCGAACGGCAGCACAGUAAGAGCUUGCUCUUACGGGUGGCGAGUGGCGGACGGGUGAGGAAUACAUCGGAAUCUACUUUUUCGUGGGGGAUAACGUAGGGAAACUUACGCUAAUACCGCAUACGACCUACGGGUGAAAGCAGGGGAUCUUCGGACCUUGCGCGAUUGAAUGAGCCGAUGUCGGAUUAGCUAGUUGGCGGGGUAAAGGCCCACCAAGGCGACGAUCCGUAGCUGGUCUGAGAGGAUGAUCAGCCACCCUGGAACUGAGACCCGGUCCAGACUCCUACGGGAGGCAGCAGUGGGGAAUAUUGGACAAUGGGCGCAAGCCUGAUCCAGCCAUACCGCGUGGGUGAAGAAGGCCUUCGGGUUGUAAAGCCCUUUUGUUGGGAAAGAAAAGCAGCAGGUUAAUACCCCGCUGUUCUGACGGUACCCAAAGAAUAAGCACCGGCUAACUUCGUG
rnacentral:rRNA from 1 species